GCCACAGCACCCCCUUAGCAGCAAUGGGGUGGAGGGAGCGUAGAUGGAGAGCAAACGUUUGUGUUCUGGUCUGAGCUUGUAUGUCUGUGAUGUGGGAAAAGUGAGGGCUGCAAUGUGAGUCCUUCCUUGGUUGGUAGGAAGGUAAAGGAGAAGCUUGCUGUCGACUGGUAGAAGAUCCAGAAGGUUCUAAGAGCUUGCAUCAAGGCACAAGCAAGGCCUUUUGUAGUAGAGUUAUUUGAAGGCAACAUUACCUGUAACUGCUUGUAGCCUCACUGAACUUGCACUCCCCAGGCUGAAAUGCCUCCAGCUGACAGGCUGCUAACAGCACAUCAGAAUCCCACCUGGUUCAGUGCCCUCAACCCAACCACGCUCAGUCACAGCUGGGGUCAGUCCAGGUGCACAGCUCACCUGUUACUGAUAAUGCCAGAUUCACCCCAGAGAAAAGUCAGUCAAAUUCUUUACAGCGCUGAGAGAAAACAAAAAAGAGAAUUACUGGAUAGCUGUUUUAUCAUUAGAUGUGUAUAUACCAAGACUGGCAAUGCAGUGGAAGAAACAGAAAUGGGAAGAGACUGAGGAAACAGCAGUGGUAGGUUCACAGGCAAAGCUGUUCUACUGGUGGGAUGAAAAAGCACAGUGAAAGUCAGGGCACCUUAUCCUUCACCCAGGUAACAUCUCUCUGUGCCUUCUCUGCUUUGAAUAGAUUCUUUUCAGCCUUGUGCAGUUCUUGAUGGUAGUCAUCCCAUUA
rnacentral:lncRNA from 1 species